GGGGAACAGAUUUCUUUAAAAAAAACAAGAAAAGGACAAAUAUAAAGCAGAGAUGUGUUUCUGUUAGAGGAGUUAACCCGUGGAAUAGUUAUGACAGUGAUUUAAAAAGGUGUAGUUCAUUUUCCUUGUUUAAAAACAUGUUUAAAAAUAGAGUAUUAGAAAAAUAUAUAAAUCAAGAAUGAAAAGAGCAAAAAGGAGAAAAAAAAACAACCUCUUGAUUCUUUUGCUUUGAUGUAGUUACUUAUCUAAGGUGGAAAGUUUUUUUUUUCUUUGUUUUUUUUUGUUUGUUUGUUUGUUUGUUUGGUUUUUGCUUUGUUUUAUUAUUUUCUUCAAGCCCUGUGUACAGGAGCUGCAUACAAAAAGAUAUUUUGUGAAAAGGGUUGGCGUAAUAAGCAAAUGCUUCAGCCAAUACCUUUUGAUUAGCCUUGUCUCAUGCUUUCUUUCUUUAUGGUAGAUUUUUGUUCUGUUUUCACUGUUUGUUUGUUUUUUCACUGUUUUCACUGAGAUUUGAAUUUGAAUGCUAAUCAAUAAAAUCAAAAAAAAAAAAAAAAAAAGAAGUCCAAGCCCCUUAGACAUACUCUUUAUUAUUUGUGGUCUUUGCUAAAUGGGUGAAUCGCAACAAUUUUUUUUUUUUUUUACAAACUUUACAAAGGUGGUGAAAAUCUUAACCAAGCAUAGUCGCUCUUGUGACAGGCUGUGGUCCACUGACCUUGCCAGUGUCGGUGGUUUCUAGAUUUAAAUUCCUCUUACUGUGAGCAUCCAGCCAUGCCCAUUAUGUCUCUGUCCCUGUCAGCCUCUGGGGAAGAAAAUGGAGGCCAGAGCCAAAUAGUAUAGAGUCCUUGGCAGGAAACGUAAUGGCAAGUGCAGACAGCAUUUUUUUGACUUUGCUAAUCCUCCCUAAAACCUUGGAUUUACAUAUUUUCAUUAACUUCGGUCUUAUAAGACAAGUGCUUGGCGUGGACAUACGUUAGACAGAACAGAAGAACCAGAUACACUCUAAGUCUAAAUGUCACAUGCCAAUCUUUGCUCUGCUGAAAGCCUGAAGAAAUCUGUUUUGACUGACUCUU
ensembl:lncRNA